AUUGGACGCUGGCGGAAUGCUUUACACAUGCAAGUCGAACGGUAGAGGGGGCAACCCCUCGAGAGUGGCGAACGGGUGAGUAAUAUAUCGGAACGUGCCCAGUCGUGGGGGAUAACGUAGCGAAAGUUACGCUAAUACCGCAUACGAUCUAAGGAUGAAAGCGGGGGAUCGCAAGACCUCGCGCGAUUGGAGCGGCCGAUAUCAGAUUAGGUAGUUGGUGGGGUAAAGGCUAACCAAGCCAACGAUCUGUAGCUGGUCUGAGAGGACGACAGCCACACUGGAACUGAGACACGGUCCAGACUCCUACGGGAGGCAGCAGUGGGGAAUUUUGGACAAUGGACGCAAGUCUGAUCCAGCCAUUCCGCGUGCAGGAUGAAGGCCCUCGGGUUGUAAACUGCUUUUGUACGGAACGAAAAGGUCUCUCUUAAUACGGGGGACUCAUGACGGUACCGUAAGAAUAAGCACCGGCUAACUACGUGCCAGCCGCCGCCGUAA
rnacentral:rRNA from 1 species